GGCGGUUCUGGUCGCCGCUGCAGUCCCCCGACGAGGUUGGCCGGCUGGACGGACCCGCGGGCAUUUUCGACGAGCUCCCGCCCCGGGACAGGAUGCGCGUUUUCUCCGAGUCGGCAACCUGGUACAGGUGUGAGACAUGAUCAUGGAAUGGACGAGAAUAACAAGCUGGUCACAUUAGGUACUCAGAAGAAAGAAGGGAGCGACAAUAGUGGAAAUAUGAGAUGAACUCCGAAGGUUCCAGCUUUAAGACCCUGCCAUGGGAGGCUAAGCAUAACAAUAGAGCAUGUCAAGUACGCAUUUGGGAUGUUGGUAAAAUGGGUUAUAUAGUAAAGUAGACAGGUUCAGGCCAAACCUUCCUCUUAAAAAAUAUAGCAGAAGAUAUCCAACAGACUCCAGAUCAUCUCUUCUGCUUUGUUCUGGGUGAAAUAUAUACUGGUGUAUGAAAUACGAUACAAUGUUUUUCCCUUCUUUUAA